AUUGAACGCUGGCGGCAUGCUUUACACAUGCAAGUCGAACGGCAGCGCGGGCUUCGGCCUGGCGGCGAGUGGCGUACGGGUGAGUAAUACAUCGGAACGUGCCCAGUAGUGGGGGAUAGCUCGGCGAAAGCCGGAUUAAUACCGCAUACGACCUGAGGGUGAAAGCGGGGGAUCUUCGGACCUCGCGCUAUUGGAGCGGCCGACGGCAGAUUAGCUAGUUGGUGGGGUAAAGGCCUACCAAGGCGACGAUCUGUAGCUGGUCUGAGAGGACGACCAGCCACACUGGGACUGAGACACGGCCCAGACUCCUACGGGAGGCAGCAGUGGGGAAUGUUGGACAAUGGGCGAAAGCCUGAUCCAGCAAUGCCGCGUGUGUGAUGAAGGCCUUCGGGUUGUAAAGCACUUUUGGCGGGAACGAAAAGGACUGUGCCAAUACCACGGUUCGAUGACGGUACCCGCAGAAUAAGCACCGGCUAACUACGUG
rnacentral:rRNA from 1 species